GGGUGAUUAGCUCAGUUGGUAGAGCUUCUCCUUUACACGGAGAAGGUCGGCGGUUCAAUUCCGUCAUCACCCA
rfam:Buchnera aphidicola (Schlechtendalia chinensis) strain SC, complete genome.